ACUUUACAAGACUGUGGGUUGUCUAUAUAAUCCGCAGUUCUUUUUGGCUGAAAAGCCAAUGAUGGUGCUUGCCUCUCAAGCCCCGUCCAAGACCGUAGGCGAAAUCAUAUCUAGAUUUCUUAAUUAAACCUACGUAGAUGGUGAACAGACAGAAUUUUCUGCUUCUGGACACCUUAGGCUCAAAAAUUAUCGUGUAAGCGGUUCUAUUUUUGGGGUUUUUUGUAAAUUCCACGCAAGUGGAGUGUAUCAGGAGCUAAACCAA
rnacentral:ncRNA from 24 species